GACAAACUGACAGCCAGCAUUUUACUGAGUUGGGAAAACCUGAAAACAUUUUCUCUAGGAUCAGCAAUAAGACAAGGGUGUACGGUCUUGCCAUUUUUAUUCAAAAUAGUAUUUGAAAUUUUAGCCAAAGUAAUUACGCAAGAGAAAGAUAUAAAAGGAACACAAAUAGGAAAGGAAGAAGUCAAAUUAUCCCUUCAUGGCGUAUUCCUUCUCUAGCUUCUGCAUGUAAGAGAAAACCCCUGUCCCGCCUUCUGAGUUUGACUUACGUCAUUUAAUAUAAUGGUUUCUAGGUCCAUCCAUUUUCCUGCAAAUGACACAUUUUUUUUUGAAUGGCUGAAUAAAAUUCUACUGUGUUCAUAUACCAUAUAUUCUUUUUCUAUUUAUCCAUUGAGCUGCACCUAGGCUGGUUCCAUAGUUUGGCUAUUGUGAAUUGUGCUGCUGUAAACAUGGGUCUGCAUGUGUCACUGUAGUAAGACGUCUUUAAUUCUUCAGGAUAAAUACCAAGAAGUGGUAUAGCUGGGUCGUAUGAUGGUUCCAUGUUUGGUCUUUUGAGGUUCCUGAUUUCCACAGUGGUUGUACUAAUUGACAAUCCCACCAGCAGUGUAAUAAUCUUACUUUUCAUUCACAUCCUCGCCAGCACUUAUUAUUAUUUGUAUUCUUAAUAACUGCCCUUUUGACUAGUGUGAGAUAAAAACUCAGUGUAGUUGUGAUUUUCAUUUCCCUAAUUGUUAGUGAUGUUGAACAUUUUUUUAUGUAUUUGUUUUUCUUAUUUCUGGAAAUGUUUGUUUAAUUCAUUUGUCCAUUUACUUAUUGGGUUAUUUGAUUUUUUGGUAUAAAGUUUUUGAGUCCUUUAUAUAUUAUGGAUAUGAAUCCUGUAUCAGAAGAGCAGCCAGCAAAGACUUUCUCCAAGUCUGUAGUUUCUCUCAUCUCAUUCUUAACUGUUU
rnacentral:lncRNA from 1 species